rnacentral:rRNA from 1 species
UACGAGGGGGGCGAGCGUUGUCGGAAUUAUUGGGCGUAAAGGGUGCGUAGGCGGUUCCGCAAGUCCUGUGUGAAAUCUUCGGGCUCAACUCGAAGUCUGCACGGGAAACUGCGGGGCUUGAGUGUGGGAGAGGUGAGUGGAAUUCCCGGUGCAGCGGUGAAAUGCGUAGAUAUCGGGAGGAACACCUGUGGCGAAAGCGGCUCACUGGACCAUAACUGACGCUGAUGCACGAAAGCUGGGGGAGCAAACAGG